rnacentral:rRNA from 1 species
UUAAGCAUAUCAAUAAGCGGAGGAAAAGAAACCAACAGGGAUUGCCUUAGUAGCGGCGAGUGAAGCGGCAAAAGCUCAAAUUUGAAAUCUGGUACCUUCGGUGCCCGAGUUGUAAUUUGAAGAGUACAAUCUUGGAAUUGGUCCUUGUCUAUGUUCCUUGGAACAGGACGUCACAGAGGGUGAGAAUCCCGUGCGAUGAGGCUACCUUUUCUUUAUAAGAUGUGCUCGACGAGUCGAGUUGUUUGGGAAUGCAGCUCUAAGUGGGUGGUAAAUUCCAUCUAAAGCUAAAUAUUGGCGAGAGACCGAUAGCGAACAAGUACAGUGAUGGAAAGAUGAAAAGAACUUUGAAAAGAGAGUGAAAAAGUACGUGAAAUUGUUGAAAGGGAAGGGUAUUAGAUCAGACUUGGUAUUUAGUUAUCUUUUCUCCUUGUGGGAGGAGCUCUAACUUUUUACUGGGCCAGCAUCAGUUCUGGUGGUAAGAUAAUUGCAGUUGAAUGUGGCUCUUCGGAGUGUUAUAGCUUCUGUUGAUGUUGCCUAUCGGGACUGAGGUCUGCGGCUUUGCCUAGGAUGCUGGCGUAAUGAUCCAAUACCGCCCGUCUUGAAACAUGGACCAAGGAGUCUAACGUCUAUGCGAGUGUUUGGGUGUAAAACCCGUACGCGUAAUGAAAGUGAACGUAGAUCAGGGCCCGUAUGGGUGCACGAUCGACCGAUCCUGAUGUUUUCAGAAGGAUUUGAGUAAGAGCAUAGCUGUUGGGACCCGAAAGAUGGUGAACUAUGCCUGAAUAGGGUGAAGCCAGAGGAAACUCUGGUGGAGGCUCGUAGCGGUUCUGACGUGCAAAUCGAUCGUCAAAUUUGGGUAUAGGGGCGAAAGACUAAUCGAACCAUCUAGUAGCUGGUUCCUGCCAA